UACGAAGGGGGGCUAGCGUUGCUCGGAAUUACUGGGCGUAAAGGGAGCGUAGGCGGACAGUUUAGUCAGAGGUGAAAGCCCAGGCUCAACCUUGGAAUUGCCUUUUGAUACUGAUUGUCUUGAGUACGGGAGAGGUGUGUGGAACUCCGAGUGUAGAGGUGAAAUUCGUAGAUAUUCGGAAGAACACCAGUGGCGAAGGCGACACACUGGCCCGUUACUGACGCUGAGGCUCGAAAGCGUGGGGAGCAAACAGG
rnacentral:rRNA from 1 species